rnacentral:rRNA from 1 species
UACAGAGGGUGCGAGCGUUAAUCGGAAUUACUGGGCGUAAAGCGCGCGUAGGCGGCUUUGCAAGUCGGGUGUGAAAUCCCCAGGCUUAACCUGGGAACUGCAUUCGAGACUGCAUUGCUAGAGUAUGGGAGAGGGAAGUGGAAUUUACGGUGUAGCAGUGAAAUGCGUAGAUAUCGUAAGGAAGACCAGUGGCGAAGGCGGGUCUCUGGACAGUUCCUGACACUGAGACACGAAGGCCAGGGGAGCAAACGGG